UACGGGGGGGGCGAGCGUUGUCCGGAUUUAUUGGGCGUAAAGAGCGUGUAGGCGGCCUGAAAGGUCAGCUGUGAAAACUCGAGGCUCAACCUCGAGACGUCGGUUGAAACCAUCUGGCUAGAGUCCGGAAGAGGAGUGUGGAAUUCCGAGUGUAGAGGUGAAAUUCGUAGAUAUUCGGAAGAACACCAGUGGCGAAGGCGACUUACUGGACACAUAUUGACGCUGAGGUGCGAAAGCGUGGGGAGCAAACAGG
rnacentral:rRNA from 1 species